GAGCGGCGGCCGCGGCGGGAGCGAGCGUGCGCGCGGCCAGGCUGCCUGGGCGGCCGGUCCUGCCUGUGACUGGUGGCGGUUGCCCAUCUCGCCUGCAAGGAGGCGGCAGCGGCUUCUCCAGACACCUGCGGCGGCGGCGACCCCCGGCGGCGCGGCGAUGUGGCCUUUGGUGGCGGCGCUGUUGCUGGGCUCGGCGUGCUGCGGUUCAGCUCAGCUAAUAUUUAAUAAAACCAAAUCUGUAGAAUUUACCUUUUGCAAUGAAACUGUUGUCAUCCCAUGCUUUGUUAUAAAUGUGGAGGCGGUGAACACUAUGGAAAUGUAUGUGAAGUGGAAAUUUAAAGGAAAAUACAUUUUUAUCUACGAUGGAGGGCAAAAUAAGUCUACUGCCGAAAAUGACUUUUCGAGUGCAAAAAUUGCAGUCUCAGAAUUACUAAAAGGGGAUGCCUCUUUGAAGAUGGAUAAGCGUGAUGCCGUCGUAGGAAACUACACAUGUGAAGUAACAGAAUUAAGCAGAGAAGGGGAAACAACGGUAGAACUGAAGUACCGUGUUGUUUCAUGGUUUUCUCCAAAUGAAAAUAUUCUCAUUGUUAUUUUCCCAAUUUUGGCUAUACUUCUGUUCUGGGGACAGUUUGGGAUUUUAACACUUAAAUAUAAAUCCAAUCGUACGAACAAGAAAAUCAUUCUUUUGCUUAUUGCUGGCCUGCUACUCACCGUAAUUGUCAUUGUUGGAGCCAUCCUUUUUGUCCCAGGUGAAUAUUCAAUAAAGAAUGCUUCUGGACUUGGUUUCAUUGUAAUUUCUACAGGGAUAUUAAUAUCACUUCAGUAUAAUGUGUUUAUGACAGCUUUUGGGAUGACCUCCUUCACUGUUGCCAUAUUGAUCACUCAGGUGCUGGGCUACGUCCUCGCAGUGGUCGGACUGUGUCUCUGUAUCAUGGCCUGUGUCCCAGUGCAUGGCCCUCUUCUGAUUUCAGGUUUGGGUAUCAUAGCUCUAGCAGAAUUACUUGGACUAGUUUAUAUGAAAUUUGUGGAGUUCAGAGAGACACCUUCGGUCAGUUGAAAGGCAAGAAGAGAAAAGCUUCCAAUCAAAAGACUAUACAACCUCCCAGGAAAGCUGUAGAGGAACCACUUAAUGAAUAACUGAAAUGAAGUGAUGGACUCCGAUUUGGAGAGCAGGAAGACGUGAAAGGAAUACACUUGUGUUUACGCACCAUGGCCUUGAUGAUUCACUCUUGUGGAGAAGAAAACAAGUAACUGGUUUUCAUCUAUGGGAGAACAUAAGUCAUUGACCCUUAAGUGAUUGUUACAGUUAAGUUUUUAUUCAAAGCAGCUGUAAUUUAGUUAAUAAAAGAACCAUGAUUUGUGUUGUGUGCCCGAUUGA